rnacentral:rRNA from 1 species
AUACGGAGGAUCCGAGCGUUAUCCGGAUUUAUUGGGUUUAAAGGGAGCGUAGGCGGACGCUUAAGUCAGUUGUGAAAGUUUGCGGCUCAACCGUAAAAUUGCAGUUGAUACUGGGUGUCUUGAGUACAGUAGAGGCAGGCGGAAUUUGUGGUGUAGCGGUGAAAUGCAUAGAUAUGACGAAGAACACCGAUUGCGUAGGCAGCUGACCAGACCGCAAAUGACGCUCAUGCACGAAAGUGCGGGGAUCGAACAGGAUUAGAUACCCUGGUAGUCCGCACAGUAAACGAUGAAUACUUGUUUUCGGCGAUAUAAUGUCGGAGGCAAAGCGAAAGCGAUAAGUAUUCCGCCUGGGGAGUACGCCGGCAACGGUGAAACUCAAAUGAAUUGACGGGG